GAAAUGCGAUAAGUAAUGUGAAUUGCAGAAUUCAGUGAAUCAUCGAAUCUUUGAACGCACCUUGCGCUCCUUGGUAUUCCUUGGAGCAUGCCUGUUUGAGUAUCAUGAAAUCUUCAAAGUCAAAUCUUUUGUUUAUUCAAUUGGUUUGACUUUGGUAUUGGAGGUCUUGCAGGUUCACACUUGCUCCUCUUUGUGCAUUAGCUGGAUCUCUCAGUGUUAUGCUUGGUUCCACUUGGCGUGAUAAAUUAUCUAUCGCUAAGGACACUGUAAAAAGGUGGCCAAGGUAAAUACCAGAUGAACCGCUUCUAAUAGUCCAUUGACUUGGACAAUAUUUUUAUGAUCUGAUCUCAAAUCAGGUAGGACUACCCGCUGAACUUAA
rnacentral:misc_RNA from 1 species